CUUUCUAUCAUGGGAAAAUUUCGCUUCAUUUUGUUGUAAGCAUUGAUUUACGGACCAUGCUUAUGUUUUUCUUUGGUCCUGGUUCGGCAUAUCAGAAGAAAUGCAACCCUGAUGGAUGCCUUGUGUGCUCUAACAUAUAACAUUAACGUUCUCACUCUGAAAAUAAAAGAAUUGAAAGGUGAGAAAGUUUUCGCUUGAGUGCGAGAAACCAAGCUUAAGAAAAGAGAAGCCUUCUGUCUCUACAUGUUGGUCAUUGAAAUAGUGAGCUAGCGCUUGAGCGAUGUACACCAGCGCUCGAGCCAUGUAUAACAAAUUUAAACGUGUUUUGGAGAGAGCAAGUACAUUUCUUGAGCCACAACACAAUGCUUAAGUUUAAGAGAGGAACCAAAAUUUAAUUCAAAUUUUAGUGACAACUCUCUUUGCUGAAAACAACGCUCAAACGAGACGAGGAAAGCAACCUUCAGAGCCCAACAAGCAGGUUUCUUAGGCAUCCUCAAGUGACAUUGUUGUUUGAGCGUUGCACGAAUAUCAAAGAAGGAAGUAGCAGAUGACUUCAGACACGACUCCUCUACUUAUCCUGCGUAGAAUGCGAAGAGUUGAUGCAAUUUUUUUUAUAGCUCUCAAGUAGGCAUGGGACUGGUCACUGCUCACCACCGAAGGUAUGUUUGAAGUUUAUUAAGUGCAACAAUCACAUACCAAUGUUUAUUUGACAGAUAUACGCAGAAAUGGUAUGGAAUUGGUCGAGGCAGGUUAGCCCAUUAGAAAGCAAACAGCAAAUUAUAGAAUUUAUUUGUUAAUUUUGAAGAUGUCUUUUAUAAAGUAUUUUUGAUUAGGUGUCAAUGUAGGCAAAAUUGUACCUAUAAUAAUUGUCUACAAUAAACUACGCAAUUUAAAACCUAAAU